GUCUACGGCCAUGCUACCCUGAACAAGCCCGAUGUCUGAUCUUGGAAGCUAAGCAGGAUCGGGCCUUGGUUAGUACUUGGAUGGGAGACCACCUAGGAAGACCAGGUACUGUAGGCA
rnacentral:rRNA from 1 species